CUAAAGAAUUUUCACGUCCGAUUUACGUGAAAUAUCACGUAGCUCAUCCUUAUUCUCAAAACCUCAAAAGUUACGUGAAGUUAGUAACCUUCACUCGAUAACCACGUCGUAUGCACCACCCUGUUUGGUGCAAUCCACCUUAUUUUCACGUAAAUCGUUUCAAUGCGUUUAUGUUAGUGUUCUUUCGACUUGGAAGUUUCCGCGAAAGUAAAGUUACGUGACUUUCAGGUGUGAAAAAAAUGCAGUAUGGCGUCGAGAAUUUAAGAAGCUGGACUGUCUUCUGACGGUAACGGAGGACCAGUUCAGCGAAGGCUUGGAACAACUGGACGACUAAGAUUUUGCGUCAAAAUCCUUAGAUUUGGAAUUAUCCAAUCUUGGAGGACCCGAAAGAAAGCAGCAGUGCGAUCACUGCAUUUCAUCGACCAAGCGGAUAUCCCGAAGCUACUUUGUUGCACACAAAAACCAGCAGUCUGUCAAAGGAACAGUUACCGCUGAUCUUACCAGUUUCCCUGAUGAAGGCCUUUCCGAUACGAGGUGAAGGUGCAGUAGUGAUUCAGCAUCCAACAACGCUUGCAUCGGCAGCAUAUAAUUUGAAGGCGUAUCUUCUAGUUUAAAUUACAAACGGAAAUGGCGCCAACGGUUCGAGACCACCAGCGGGCACAAGUUAACUGUGUAACAGUAAUCGAGCACACUUCAGAGUCGACAUCGGUAACAACGGUGUGACGACACAUGUUCCGGACAGCGUACGAUAUCGACUUGACCCGGUUGCGUCGGAAACGGGAACAUCUCCAAAAUCAGGAAACGGCGCAGCAGAAAUCGAUUAUUUAUUUAUUACUCAACUCUAAAAUAAAAUGCUGAUAAAGAUUUUUCUUUAAUUGAUACAUAUUUGUACCUGCUUGUAGCGCAUUUGAGGAGGCAAGAA